GAGGUACAGCUUGUUGGGUCUGGUGAAGGAUUGGUGCAGCCUAAAGGGUCACUGAAACACUUGUAUUCAGCCUCUGGAUUCAUCUUCAAUACAUAUACAAUGGAAUGGGUCUGCCAGGCUUCAAGAAAGGGUCUGGAAUGGGUUGCAUGCAUAAGAAGAAAAAGUAAUAAUUAUGUCACAUAUACUGAUUCAGUGAAAGACAGAUUCGCCAUCUCCAGAGAUGAUUCGGAAAGCAUGGUCAACCUGCAAAUGAACAAUUUGAAAAGUGAGGACAUAGACCUGUAUUAAUUACAAGAGAU